UACUAAGGGCGCACGGUGGAUGCCUUGGCAGAAACAGGCGAUGAAGGACGUGGCAAGCUGCGAUAAGCUUCGGGAAGCCGCACACAGGCGUUGAUCCGGAGAUUUCCGAAUGGGGAAACCCACCAUGGUGAUCCCAUGGUAUGUCCUACUGAAUACAUAGGUAGGAACAGGCGAACGGAGGGAAGUGAACCAUCUCAGUACCUCCAGGAGUAGAAAGAAACCUCGAUUCCGAGAGUAGUGGCGAGCGAAAUCGGACAUAGCCCAAACCCGUGAUAUUUCGGUAUCUCGGGGGUUGUAGGGCCUGCACUAGUAGAGUUACCAAUCCAGUCGAUAGCUGAAGACCGUUGGAAAGCGGUCCCAAAGAGCGUGACAGGCGCGUAGGCGAAAUUGAUCUGGACUCGAAGCAGGUACCUGAGUAAGGCGGGGCACGAGAAACCCUGCUUGAAUCCACGGGGACCAUCCCGUAAGGCUAAAUACUCGUUUCUGACCGAUAGUGAACCAGUACCGUGAGGGAAAGGCGAAAAGAACCCCUGUGAGGGGAGUGAAAUAGAUCCUGAAACCGUAUGCGUACAAGCAGUCGGAGCGGACUUGUUCCGUGACGGCGUACCUUUUGUAUAAUGGGUCAGCGACUUAUGUUCAGUGGCGAGGUUAACCGUUUAGGGGAGCCGUAGGGAAACCGAGUCUGAAUAGGGCGAUUUAGUCGCUGGGCAUAGACCCGAAACCGGGCGAUCUAUCCAUGAGCAGGUUGAAGGUGCCGUAACAGGCACUGGAGGACCGAACCCACUGUCGUUGAAAAGCCAGGGGAUGACUUGUGGAUCGGAGUGAAAGGCUAAUCAAGCCCGGAGAUAGCUGGUUCUCCCCGAAAGCUAUUUAGGUAGCGCCUCGGACGAAUACCACAGGGGGUAGAGCACUGUUUCGGCUAGGGGGUCAUCCCGACUUACCAACCCGAUGCAAACUCCGAAUACCUGUGAGUACUAUCCGGGAGACACACGGCGGGUGCUAACGUCCGUCGUGAAGAGGGAAACAACCCAGACCGCCAGCUAAGGUCCCCAAGUACCAGUUAAGUGGGAAACGAUGUGGGAAGGCUUAGACAGCUAGGAGGUUGGCUUAGAAGCAGCCAUCCUUUAAAGAAAGCGUAACAGCUCACUGGUCUAAAUAAGGGUUCCUGCGGCGAAGAUGUAACGGGGCUAAAGAUAUGCACCGAAGCUUAGGGUUCAGAAUUUAUUCUGAGCGGUAGCGGAGCGUUCCGUAAGCGAGCGAAGGAGAAGGGUAACCGACUCUGGACGUAUCGGAAGUGCGAAUGCUGACAUGAGUAGCGACAAAGAGGGUGAGAUGCCCUCUCGCCGAAAGACCAAGGGUUCCUGCGCAACGCUAAUCGGCGCA
rnacentral:rRNA from 1 species